rnacentral:rRNA from 1 species
AGAGUUUGAUCAUGGCUCAGGACGAACGCUGGCGGCGUGCUUAACACAUGCAAGUCGAGCGGAAAGGCCCUUUCGGGGGUACUCGAGCGGCGAACGGGUGAGUAACACGUGAGUAAUCUGCCCUUGGCUUUGGGAUAACUACCGGAAACGGUGGCUAAUACCGGAUAUGACCAUGCUCGGCAUCGGGUGUGGUGGGAAGUUUUUUCGGCCAGGGAUGUGCUCGCGGCCUAUCAGCUUGUUGGUGGGGUAAUGGCCUACCAAGGCUUCGACGGGUAGCCGGCCUGAGAGGGUGACCGGCCACACUGGGACUGAGACACGGCCCAGACUCCUACGGGAGGCAGCAGUGGGGAAUAUUGGACAAUGGGCGGAAGCCUGAUCCAGCAACGCCGCGUGAGGGAUGACGGCCUUCGGGUUGUAAACCUCUUUCAGUACCGACGAAGCGCCGAUGAUGGUGGUGACGGUAGGUACAGAAGAAGCACCGGCCAACUACGUG